GACGAACCGUCCAAACGUUACUCGGAAUUACUGGGCUUAAAGGGUGCGUAGGCGGCGCGGUAAGUUGGGUGUGAAAUCCCUCGGCUCAACCGAUGAAUUGCGCCCAAAACUACCGUGCUCGAGGGAGGCAGAGGUGAGCGGAACUGAUGGUGGAGCGGUGAAAUGCGUUGAUAUCAUCAGGAACACCGGUGGCGAAAGCGGCUCACUGGGUCUUUUCUGACGCUGAGGCACGAAGGCUAGGGGAGCGAACGGG
rnacentral:misc_RNA from 1 species